UCGACUGGGGCGGCACAUCACUCAAGUGGUAACGCAGGUGUCCCAAGGUGAUCUUAGUCAGGACGGAAGCCUGGUGCGAAGUAGAAAGGCAAAAGCUUACUCGAUUUUGAUUUCCAUCACAAAUCCAGACCACGAAAGCGCGGCCUAUCGAUUUUUAUUUUGAU
rnacentral:ncRNA from 1 species